rnacentral:rRNA from 1 species
AUUCCCCUAGUAACGGCGAGUGAAGCGGGAUGAGCUCAAAUUUAAAAUCUGGCAGUCUAAGAUUGUCCGAGUUGUAGUCUAGAGAAGCGUUUUCCGCGUAGGCCUGUGUACAAGUCCCUUGGAAUAGGGCGUCAUAGAGGGUGAGAAUCCCGUCCUUGACACAGAUCAUCUAUGCUCUGCGAUGCGCUCUCGAAGAGUCGAGUUGUUUGGGAAUGCAGCUCAAAAUGGGUGGUAAAUUCCAUCUAAAGCUAAAUAUUGGCGAGAGACCGAUAGCGAACAAGUACCGUGAGGGAAAGAUGAAAAGCACUUUGGAAAGAGAGUUAAACAGUACGUGAAAUUGUUGAAAGGGAAACGAUUGAAGUCAGUCAUGUGGUUUGAGGUUCAGCCGGUUCUGCCGGUGUAUUCCUCAGACUACAGGCCAGCAUCAGUUUCGACCGGUGGAAAAAGUUGGAGGGAACGUGGCAUCCUCGGAUGUGUUAUAGCCCUCUUUCACA